UGGACCUUUAGCUCAGCUGGUAAGAGCAGACGGCUCAUAACCGUCCGGUCGUAGGUUCAAUCCCUACAAGGUCCAUUUA
rnacentral:tRNA from 1 species